rnacentral:rRNA from 1 species
AACGAACGCUGGCGGCAGGCCUAACACAUGCAAGUCGAACGCUGUAGCAAUACAGAGUGGCAGACGGGUGAGUAACGCGUGGGAACGUGCCUUUCGGUUCGGAAUAACUCAGGGAAACUUGAGCUAAUACCGGAUACGCCCUUCGGGGGAAAGAUUUAUUGCCGAAAGAUCGGCCCGCGUCCGAUUAGCUAGGUGGUGUGGUAAUGGCGCACCAAGGCGACGAUCGGUAGCUGGUCUGAGAGGAUGAUCAGCCACACUGGGACUGAGACACGGCCCAGACGCCUACGGGAGGCAGCAGUGGGGAAUAUUGGACAAUGGGCGCAAGCCUGAUCCAGCCAUGCCGCGUGAGUGAUGAAGGCCUUAGGGUUGUAAAGCUCUUUCACCGAUGAAGAUAAUGACGGUAGUCGGAGAAGAAGCCCCGGCUAACUUCGUGCCAGCCGCCGCGGUAACAC